CUGAACUGGUCCCGGGUCCUCAGACUGGGAUCGCCCCCUGAGAAGGACCCUAAAGUCCUCAGCAUCUAACCAAAACCCUAAGGCAGGAUACUUAAGGGGUUAAGUCCCCUGGGGCUGUAUCCUGCCUUUCAGCUUUUCCCAGCCCCCAGAGCCGGUCCCUUGAACCCCACACCGGCCCUGAUCUCUAGGAUGGAGCAAGGGGCAGAGUUAUGGGGCCCAGAUCUCCAGGGCCCCGAGGAGAGCCUGAGAGAUGGUCAUAAAGGUGCUAGAAGUGAAAAUGAAGAGGAGAAUCUUCAGCCAGAGGGGUCAGGGGAUGAGAUGCCUUUGGGAGACCCACCCCAUAGUCCAGAACUCAAGAAUCCCCCAGAGAUGCCCCUGGAGGAGAUUCCUUUGGAUAAUCCAGCCUCUGAGUCAGUUCCUGCCCCCUCAGAUUGGACCAAGGCCUGUGAGACAGGCUGGCAAUGGGGGGCCCUGAC